rnacentral:rRNA from 1 species
CAGCAGCCGCGGGAAUACGAAGGGUGCAAGCGUUAAUCGGAAUUACUGGGCGUAAAGCGCACGCAGGCGGUUUGUUAAGUCAGAUGUGAAAUCCCCGAGCUUAACUUGGGAACUGCAUUUGAAGCUGGCAAGCUAGAGUCUUGUAGAGGGGGGUAGAAUUCCAGGUGUAGCGGUGAAAUGCGUAGAGAUCUGGAGGAAUACCGGUGGCGAAGGCGGCCCCCUGGACAAAGACUGACGCUCAGGUGCGAAAGCGUGGGAAGCAAACAGGAUUAGAUACCCCUGUAGUCCCUGUCUCUUAUAC